GAAAGGGUGACGAAGCGACGCCGCGUGUGGGAAGAAGGCCUUCGGGUUGUAAACCACUGUCAGGAGUUAAGAAGUGCAAGGGUGCGAAUAGCGCCUUUGCUUGACUAAGGCUCCAGAGGAAGCCACGGCUAACUCUGUGCCAGCAGCCGCGGUAAUA
rnacentral:rRNA from 1 species